rnacentral:lncRNA from 1 species
CAGAAGAAGUCGAUAAAAGUCCCUUUCUUUCUAAAAAAAAAAGGCGUUAGGUGGUCUGAAAAGUCAUUGAAUCUAACAACAAAGUUGCUAGGUUUGCAACUACGUGUCCCAGACUGCAUCCCUGCUGAGAGUCCCUCCCUCCCUUCUCAUGUUGCAGGAAGACCGUAAGCGCCCGCCCCUUGUCAAUCAGUCACCAUAUAAUUUUCGAUUGGUUGUUGUGGUGAAGUUUUCCACCAAUAGGAGAGAUGUUGUGGUGUGUUUUUUUUUUCUUUUGGCAAGCCUUUUCCGCCUGUAAGACCUGUCGCUAAUGUCUGCAUGCUAUGUUUUCCUGUCUCAUACAGCGCGAUCGAGCGCCGAACGUGAUCAAAAUAAGCAGAAAAAAAGUAUCGCAGACAUAAUUUAUCAUAACUCUGGUUUUAUUUGGCCUAUCAACACAAUUUAAAAACUGGUAUAUAGUUUAAGGUCCUCACUUUGGAGAUAAGUUGAAACGGAUAGUCAACGAGGCUCCAUCUUGCAGCUACAUCCGGUUAAAUAUGUCAUGUGACUUGAACGCUGGGGAGCGUCAAUCGACUGCAGAGCCAGCAGACAAAGUACUUAUGGCCAUUGAGAGGCACACAUUUGUCAUAUGCUAUAAUCCUAACAUAUUUUAAUGCUUUUUCUAUUUAAACCUAAUGGAUCUAAGGUUUGACCUUCAAAAUUUAGGAAGAAUAUGUUAUUGCAGUAAUGACCCCCUUAAACAACCAGAGGUCCUUUCCUAAAGUUUAUGGAAAUUUUAGUGAAGGCCUUGGUUUCUGUCCUCGCAAAAUGCAUAGAAAUAAUAAAGCUAAAUACCAUAAAAUGGUCUUGGCGUAUUAGCAGUGAUAUAAAAUAGUGGUUUGAAUAUGAAUGAACAACAAAAAAAAACAUCAACAGAGCCUUUUUGUGUUGGGAUUCUUUCAUUAUUACACAAAAACAGACAUAGACAGACAUCGAAAGGGUAAGGGAAUGAUCAGCCCUCCUGACUCUCAGAUGAAUCUUCAAAAUUCACCUCAGAAAUAUGCUUAUUCUUCUCAGAGUACUGCAGGAUACACACACACACACACACACACACACACACACACACACUCAGAGUCUUUUUUUUAGCACCUGCAAAAACAUGCUAUUUACAUAUUUGACAAGAAUGCAGAGGCUCCUUUUGCCCCUGAAAAAAAUCAAAUUUCAAACACAACUUGACUGCUCAUUUCUCCAAAAGACAACCAUGAAGCUCCAUCCAAACCUGAAGCAGGCAGUUGGUGCAUGUGUACAGUAACCUGAGGGGAGUGAGGUGACUGCUUCUGAGGAGAACAUGAGCAGUGAAGAUUCACCUUGGAGCUAGAACAGGGACGUGCACAUGAUUAUACAGGGGCAGGGGCUCACGUUUUUUCCAGUCGUUUAUACAAUAUGGAAAUUAAUGUGAAAUUAAAAACAAAGUAUUAAUAGAAAGGUAAUGACUGUCCUGUGUAGGUGACCGUGAUAUCCAAUAGGCUAGGCACUCACAAGGCUGGCUGUGGCAAGUGUAAGUGAAAGCAACAUGCACUGGCAGGAAGACCAGCUAACACAGAUGAAGGAAAAGGGUCUUUGCAGUGAUGGGCGUCACCAGAGAGGGCGACAGCCAGAGGACGUGAAUGGGACAGGGAGGCGGUCGCGCUGGGGGCGGCGCGACGCGGCUCGGGCCCGCCAGUGCCCCAACGGGGCCCUAGUUUGUUAUUAUUAUUAUUAUUAUUAUUUUUCCUCCGCUUUAAACUGGAAAAUGGCCCACUUCCCACUGGCGGAAACUCAUUAAAUUUGGCAGGACGACCGGGCCUGGUGCAAAAUUCGAUAUUCUGAAGUCGCCCAAACAAUAAAAUGCAAAAUGGCUCCAUAGCGCCCCCUAAGGUGAAAAUUCACACUAUUGACUGUCACGCCUUUACGCUUUGUCAUAUUGACACAAAAAUUGACACACACAUGUAUCUCAAUAAGAUCUACAAAAAAGUCAGUGCGGGCGUAUCUGUCAAAUGUACGGUUAAAGGGUUAUUUCGCAUUUUUUGCCGAUCCGCACACAUUGGAAUUUCGCUAACUCCUCCGAAGGCUUUCGUUCCAACGGCACCACAUUUGCUCAGGCCAAUCUACACCCCAUGGCCAUUAAAAGUUGUACAAAUCAUGACGCUGCACCCCACGGUUUACGUUCUAGGGGAACGAAGGAAUUUUUACUCCCCAAAAGAGCGCCCCCCAAUGGCAGGAGAAAAAAGUCCAUUUUUUCUUGUCUCCUAAGGCGAAAAUACACAUUGUUGACUGUCACGCAUUUACGCUUUGUCAAAAUGACACAAAAAUUGACACACACAUGUAUCUCAAUACGAUCUACGAAAAAGUCAAUGCGAGCGUAUCUGUUCAAUGUACGGUUAAAGGGCUAUUUCGCAUUUUUUGCCGAUUCGCACACAUUGGAAUGUGGCUAACUCCUCCUAAAUCUUUUGUCCCAUCGGCUUCAAAUUUGCUCAGGUCAAUCUACACCCCAUGGCCAUUCAAAGUUGUACAAAUCAUGACGCUGCACCCCACAGUUUACGUUCUAGGGGGCGCCAAAGAGGACCCAAAUAUCCACAUUUUUAAAAGUCUUAUAACUUUUUAUUUUUGUCCUCACUGGCCUCCAAGUUUUCUAGGAUGAUGCAAUGUCCAGCCAUCAACACAUUUGUGAAGGAAUUUUUUCUCCCCAAAAGCGCGCCCCCCCAUGGCAGGAGAAAAAGUCAAGUUUUUCCUGCCCAUCGCUCAAUGGCUCAAACGCAUCGCUCUCUCGGCAAAACGGAAAGGAGGAGCAACUUGCCAUUUGGAUAUAUACUAGCUGUGUUUGUGCCCUCACUCAUGGUCCAGACUUUUUUCAAAAAGGACAUGGAGUUUGUCUGCAGCGAGCGUUUUGGUAGAAACUGCGCCUCCCAUUCAUUAUAAUGGUAAAUGACCACAGACAAGUGCGCACACCAUCUUUGGACCUUGAGUGUGACGCGAUCGGGAGGGGUAGGCGGUCGCGCUGGGGGCGGCGCAACACGGCUCGGGCCCAACAGUGCCCCAACGGGGCCCUAGUUAGGGCCCGAGCCAGCUGCAGAGCAGCCGGGCGUAGAGCCCUAUUAUUCCUGUAAAGGUUUUUCUUUCUUCUUUCUUUCUUUCUUUCUUUAGGGCCCGAGCGUAGCUGCUAAGCAGCUGCGAGAGCCCUCUUGUUCCUGCAUGUUUCCUUCUUUUGUUAUUAUUAUUAUUAUUAUUUUUCCUCCCCUUUGAACUGGAAAAUGGCCCACUUCCCACUGGCGAAAACUCAUGAAAUUUGGCAGGACGACCGGGCCUGGUGAAAAAUUUGAUAUUCUGAAGUCGCCCAAACAAUAAAAUGCAAAAUGGCUCCAUAGCGCCCCCUAAGGUGGAAAUUCACACUAUUGACUGUCACGCCUGUACGCUUUGUCAAAAUGACACAAAAUUUGACACACAUAUGUAUCUCAAUAAGAUCUACAAAAAAGUCAGUGCGGGCGUAUCUGUCAAAUGUACGGUUUAAGGGCUAUUUCGCAUUUUUUGGCGAUCCGUACACAUUGGAAUUUCGCUAACUCCUCCGAAGGCUUUUGUUCCACCGGCACCACAUUUGCUCAGGCCAAUCUACACCCCAUGGCCAUUAAAAGUUAUUCAAAUCAUGACGCUGCACCCCACGGUUUAGGUUCUAGGGGGCGCCAAAGAUAACCCUAAAAUCCACAUAUUUAAAAGUCUUAUAACUUUUUAUUUUUGUCCUCACUGGCCUCCAAGUUCUCUAGGAUGAUGCAAUGUCCAGCCAUCAACACAUUUAUGAAGGAAUUUUUACUCGCCAAAAGAGCGCCCCCCCAUGGCAGGAGAAAAAAGUCCAUUUUUUCUUGUCUCCUAAGGCGAAAAUACACAUUGUUGACUGUCACGCCUUUACGCUUUGUCAAAAUGACACAAAAUUUGACACACACAUGUAUCUCAAUAAGAUCUACGAAAAAGUCAAUGCGAGCGUAUUUGUUCAAUGUACGGUUAAAGGGCUAUUUCGCAUUUUUUGCCGAUUCGCACACAUUGGAAUGUGGCUAACUCCUCCUAAAUCUUUUGUCCCACCGGCACCACAUUUGCUCAGGCCAAUCUACACCCCAUGGCCAUUAAAAGUUAUUCAAAUCAUGACGCUGCACCCCACGGUUUAGGUUCUAGGGG